AUGGCCCAUUACAAAGCCGCCAACUUGAAGCGUGAGCAGUUCCGGAGGUACUUGGAGAAGUCAGGGGUGCUGGACACACUGACCAAGGUGUUGGUAUGAAGAACCAGAGAAACCUAACAGUGCUUUGGAUUUCUUAAAGCAUCACUUAGGAACUGCUACCCCAGAAAAUCCAGAAAUAGAGCUGCUGUGCCUAGAACUGGCGAAAACGAAAGAGAAAUAUAAAGCUAUUGUAGAAAAAAAUAAAAAACUGAAAGCAAAGCUUGCUCAGUAUGAACCACCUCAGGAGGAGAAGUAUGCUGAA
rnacentral:lncRNA from 1 species